UCCCUGGUGGUCCAGUGGCUAAGACUCUGCACUUCGAAUGCAGGGGCCUGGUUUCCAUCCCUGGUCAGGGAA
rnacentral:tRNA from 1 species